rnacentral:lncRNA from 1 species
CCCAAGAGAUGGUGUAUACAUAGCACUUUGUCAACUGUAAAGUCCUAUGUAGAUAUUGUAAUUUAGCCUUGGCUAGAGAAGGCCUCACAAAGGAGGUAGGGUACAUAAGCCUGAGCUGGAAGAGUAGGUGGCAGGUGGCAGAGGGGUGAGGAGGGCCUUACAGGUGGGGGGGACAUGGGUGCUGCUGGGAGGUUGGAGUGAGCAUGGUCAGGAGACAUGAGUUGGCCCUCCUCACAUCCAACUUGAGAGGUUGGUGCUCACCUCUCCCUUCCACAGAUGAGGAUGCUGGGGGAUCCGAAGGUGCAUCUGGCCAGACAACAUGAUGCAGCCUGGAAUUGCCAUCUCUCCUCCUGGGAGGUUUAUCCCUCCCAUCUGCUACAUUUCACCCAAAUGAGGAUGCAGAUCAGAAACAUGUUGCAGUAUGAGCUCUCUGCAGAAUUGGUGUGUGCUCCAUCUUUGAAUGUAUCACUCUCAUCACAGUGCCUGGUAUACAGCAGUUUCUCACUAAACACUUACUAACUCAUUUAAUAAAUGACUGAGUGAGCCA